UCGACCUGCCCUAGCUUCCACCACGACCACCUCCGCCGCCGAGCACGUUCCGCUGUGCCCGACCACCAUACGCCCGCUAAUCAUUCCACCGCAGUUCCGGAUCCCUCCCUGGAUAUUGUCGUCGGACACCCUUCGCCGCUUCGUCCCAGACCAACAACACAAGGAGGGGAAGGGAGGGAGACACAAUGGGCGGGGAUGCGAGAAGCAUGGACGCGGUUGCGCGGCCCCCGGAUCCGGUGAAGGGCGUGCGCGAGAGGCGGCCAACGGGGCGUGAGGCACAGCUCCAGAUCCGGGUGGCCAGAGCAGAGCGUGAAGCCAGGAAGCAGGGGCGAGGGUUUGGAUGUGUUUGGAUGCUUUGGGUGGCCGCCUUCACCGCGGCCAGUGCAGCGGCGUGGUUGUGGUUUGGCGGCCAGGUUUGGACGCCCCGGUGUCAUCUGCGAGCGACAUGGGAGGGAGCGACCAGGAACCAAAAGAUGCCGACAGUCUUGAGUACUCAGAUCAGCAAACCCGUCUUUGUAUUCCCAUCAUUGAAACGAGGAGGGUAUUCCCAUUUUUGACGUCAAUUGGGAGGCGAAGUCGGUUGCUGUCACACCUUAGACGUAUGCUCUUGGGGACCAGGAGUAUGUCCUUAUCGAUGAAGACAAGGAUGCUGACUGGAUGCUCGUUGGCGAUCUUCCUUCGGAUUCAACAAGUUUUUCCCAAGCUUUGUCACAAGGAUGAGGAAUGCUAAAAAGGUUCUACAUGAUAGCAGUUGUAUAUGUCAACUAGGAUGUGUACAUGAUGUUUCUCGUAUUCAAAACAACAUCACAAUCAUGUGGGGGCGAGGUUAAGCUCUGAUCUUCAAAAGCAUUGCAAGCUUGGUGACUCUUCUAUGGGAGACAUGUGGCCCUCUUUAAAUAAUGCAGUUUUACAUGAUGGUGGCGAGUCUGUUAUUCGCAAGACAUUUGAUGAAGUCAUCCAACAAAAGGUUGCGAACAAGCAAUUUUUGUUCCUGUACAUGGUUGUAGUUGUGUGUCAAGCUCCAACCAUUUGUUUGGUUUAGUUUGAACAAAAGAAAUCUUAUUGUCUUAUGUAAAUUUUGUUUACCGAUGUAGUAGGUUGGAA